rnacentral:lncRNA from 1 species
UCAACUACGGAAACAACAACACAACCAUCGACUACGAAAACAACAACACAGUCACCGACUACUAAAACAGCAACACUAACAACGACUUCCAAAUCAGCAACAACAGAAAUGCACCUUGUAACAACUUGGAAAUGUGUAAAUAGUCCUUUUGUGAAUUGCGAUGUCUCAAACAUAUGUAGUACCAGUGCAUGGGCCCAUUACUG